UAUGUCAUUGUGUGCCAGCAGCCGCUGUCAUACGUAGGUGGCAAGCGUUGUCCGGAAUUAUUGGGCGUCAAGCGCGCGCAGGCGGAUUGGUCAGUCUGUCUUAAAAGUUCGGGGCUUAACCCCGUGAUGGGAUGGAAACUGCCAAUCUAGAGUAUCGGAGAGGAAAGUGGAAUUCCUAGUGUAGCGGUGAAAUGCGUAGAUAUUAGGAAGAACACCAGUGGCGAAGGCGACUUUCUGGACGAAAACUGACGCUGAGGCGCGAAAGCCAGGGGAGCGAACGGG
rnacentral:rRNA from 1 species